rnacentral:rRNA from 1 species
GAUGAACGCUGGCGGCGUGCCUAAUACAUGCAAGUCGAGCGAACAGAUAAGGAGCUUGCUCCUUUGACGUUAGCGGCGGACGGGUGAGUAACACGUGGGUAACCUACCUAUAAGACUGGGAUAACUUCGGGAAACCGGAGCUAAUACCGGAUAAUAUUUCGAACCGCAUGGUUCGAUAGUGCAAGAUGGUUUUGCUAUCACUUAUAGAUGGACCCGCGCCGUAUUAGCUAGUUGGUAAGGUAACGGCUUACCAAGGCGACGAUACGUAGCCGACCUGAGAGGGUGAUCGGCCACACUGGAACUGAGACACGGUCCAGACUCCUACGGGAGGCAGCAGUAGGGAAUCUUCCGCAAUGGGCGAAAGCCUGACGGAGCAACGCCGCGUGAGUGAUGAAGGUCUUCGGAUCGUAAAACUCUGUUAUUAGGGAAGAACAUACGUGUAAGUAACUGUGCACGUCUUGACGGUACCUAAUCAGAAAGCCACGGCUAACUACGUG